AUAUCAUCUCUCCAGCCAAAGUAUGACAUUAUUGCUGCAGUAGUGAGGAUUAGAGCAGAGGUGCUGGAAUGGAACGGGAAUGUAUCUGGGAGAAGGAAACCUCUGGCUGCCUUCAUAUGAAUUCAGAAGCACAGAUUAGUAAUACGACCAUGUAGUUGAGAUGCAGCUACACAUGCUCAGUUUCAUCUUCCGACUGCCACCAGCACUAUCUUCUAUUAGAAGCUGUAAGCGUUACAGGGAGAGAGCUGCAGCAGAAAGGACAUGCCCC